rnacentral:rRNA from 1 species
UGCAGUCGUACGCUUCUUUUUCCACCGGAGCUUGCUCCACCGGAAAAAGAAGAGUGGCGAACGGGUGAGUAACACGUGGGUAACCUGCCCAUCAGAAGGGGAUAACACUUGGAAACAGGUGCUAAUACCGUAUAACAAUCGAAACCGCAUGGUUUUGAUUUGAAAGGCGCUUUCGGGUGUCGCUGAUGGAUGGACCCGCGGUGCAUUAGCUAGUUGGUGAGGUAACGGCUCACCAAGGCCACGAUGCAUAGCCGACCUGAGAGGGUGAUCGGCCACAUUGGGACUGAGACACGGCCCAAACUCCUACGGGAGGCAGCAGUAGGGAAUCUUCGGCAAUGGACGAAAGUCUGACCGAGCAACGCCGCGUGAGUGAAGAAGGUUUUCGGAUCGUAAAACUCUGUUGUUAGAGAAGAACAAGGAUGAGAGUAACUGUUCAUCCCUUGACGGUAUCUAACCAGAAAGCCACGGCUAACUACGUGCCAGCAGCCGCGGUAAUACGUAGGUGGCAAGCGUUGUCCGGAUUUAUUGGGCGUAAAGCGAGCGCAGGCGGUUUCUUAAGUCUGAUGUGAAAGCCCCCGGCUCAACCGGGGAGGGUCAUUGGAAACUGGGAGACUUGAGUGCAGAAGAGGAGAGUGGAAUUCCAUGUGUAGCGGUGAAAUGCGUAGAUAUAUGGAGGAACACCAGUGGCGAAGGCGGCUCUCUGGUCUGUAACUGACGCUGAGGCUCGAAAGCGUGGGGAGCAAACAGGAUUAGAUACCCUGGUAGUCCACGCCGUAACGAUGAGUGCUAAGUGUUGGAGGGUUUCCGCCCUUCAGUGCUGCAGCUAACGCAUUAAGCACUCCGCCUGGGGAGUACGACCGCAAGGUUGAAACUCAAAGGAAUUGACGGGGGGCCCGCACAAGCGGUGGAGCAUGUGGUUUAAUUCGAAGCAACGCGAAGAACCUUACCAGGUCUUGACAUCC